AUACUCCUGACUGACCGAUAGUGAACCAGUACCGUGAGGGAAAGGCGAAAAGAACCCCGGCGAGGGGAGUGAAAAAGAACCUGAAACCGUGUACGUACAAGCAGUGGGAGCCCCACCACUAAGCCAGUGGUGAACUCCACAUACGCAUCCUUUGCUGAGGAUACGGUUAACGGAGCGAAAGCGACGUUCAACCGCAAAAGAAGCAGAGGGGGCUUAGUGGUGGGGUGACUGCGUACCUUUUGUAUAAUGGGUCAGCGACUUAUAUUCUGUAGCAAGGUUAACCGAAUAGGGGAGCCGGAGGGAAACCGAGUCUUAAUUGGGCGUUAAGUUGCAGGGUAUAGACCCGAAACCCGGUGAUCUAGCCAUGGGCAGGUUGAAGGUUGGGUAACACUAACUGGAGGACCGAACCGACUAAUGUUGAAAAAUUAGCGGAUGACCUGUGGCUGGGGGUGAAAGGCCAAUCAAACCGGGAGAUAGCUGGUUCUCCCCGAAAGCUAUUUAGGUAGCGCCUCGUGAAUUCAUCUCCGGGGGUAGAGCACUGUUUCGGCUAGGGGGCCAUCCCGGCUUACCAACCCGAUGCAAACUGCGAAUACCGGAGAAUGUUAUCACGGGAGACACACGGCGGGUGCUAACGUCCGUCGUGAAGAGGGAAACAACCCAGACCGCCAGCUAAGGUCCCAAAGUCAUGGUUAAGUGGGAAACGAUGUGGGAAGGCCCAGACAGCCAGGAUGUUGGCUUAGAAGCAGCCAUCAUUUAAAGAAAGCGUAAUAGCUCACUGGUCGAGUCGGCCUGCGCGGAAGAUGUAACGGGGCUAAACCAUGCACCGAAGCUGCGGCAGCGACACUGUGUGUUGUUGGGUAGGGGAGCGUUCUGUAAGCCUGUGAAGGUGUGUCGUGAGGCAUGCUGGAGGUAUCAGAAGUGCGAAUGCUGACAUAAGUAACGAUAAAGCGGGUGAAAAGCCCGCUCGCCGGAAGACCAAGGGUUCCUGUCCAACGUUAAUCGGGGCAGGGUGAGUCGACCCCUAAGGCGAGGCCGAAAGGCGUAGUCGAUGGGAAACGGGUUAAUAUUCCCGUACUUGGUGUUACUGCGAAGGGGGGACGGAGAAGGCUAUGUUGGCCGGGCGACGGUUGUCCCGGUUUAAGCGUGUAGGUGUGUGUUCCAGGUAAAUCCGGUUCACUUUAACACUGAGGCGUGACGACGAGGCACUACGGUGCUGAAGCAACAAAUGCCCUGCUUCCAGGAAAAGCCUCUAAGCAUCAGGUAACAUCAAAUCGUACCCCAAACCGACACAGGUGGUCAGGUAGAGAAUACCAAGGCGCUUGAGAGAACUCGGGUGAAGGAACUAGGCAAAAUGGUGCCGUAACUUCGGGAGAAGGCACGCUGACACGUAGGUGAAGUGAUUUACUCAUGGAGCUGAAGUCAGUCGAAGAUACCAGCUGGCUGCAACUGUUUAUUAAAAACACAGCACUGUGCAAACACGAAAGUGGACGUAUACGGUGUGACGCCUGCCCGGUGCCGGAAGGUUAAUUGAUGGGGUCAGCGCAAGCGAAGCUCCUGAUCGAAGCCCCGGUAAACGGCGGCCGUAACUAUAACGGUCCUAAGGUAGCGAAAUUCCUUGUCGGGUAAGUUCCGACCUGCACGAAUGGCGUAAUGAUGGCCAGGCUGUCUCCACCCGAGACUCAGUGAAAUUGAACUCGCUGUGAAGAUGCAGUGUACCCGCGGCAAGACGGAAAGACCCCGUGAACCUUUACUAUAGCUUGACACUGAACAUUGAGCCUUGAUGUGUAGGAUAGGUGGGAGGCUUUGAAGUGUGGACGCCAGUCUGCAUGGAGCCGACCUUGAAAUACCACCCUUUAAUGUUUGAUGUUCUAACGUGGACCCGUUACCCGGGUUGCGGACAGUGUCUGGUGGGUAGUUUGACUGGGGCGGUCUCCUCCUAAAGAGUAACGGAGGAGCACGAAGGUUGGCUAAUCCUGGUCGGACAUCAGGAGGUUAGUGCAAUGGCAUAAGCCAGCUUGACUGCGAGCGUGACGGCGCGAGCAGGUGCGAAAGCAGGUCAUAGUGAUCCGGUGGUUCUGAAUGGAAGGGCCAUCGCUCAACGGAUAAAAGGUACUCCGGGGAUAACAGGCUGAUACCGCCCAAGAGUUCAUAUCGACGGCGGUGUUUGGCACCUCGAUGUCGGCUCAUCACAUCCUGGGGCUGAAGUAGGUCCCAAGGGUAUGGCUGUUCGCCAUUUAAAGUGGUACGCGAGCUGGGUUUAGAACGUCGUGAGACAGUUCGGUCCCUAUCUGCCGUGGGCGCUGGAGAACUGAGGGGGGCUGCUCCUAGUACGAGAGGACCGGAGUGGACGCAUCACUGGUGUUCGGGUUGUCAUGCCAAUGGCACUGCCCGGUAGCUAAAUGCGGAAGAGAUAAGUGCUGAAAGCAUCUAAGCACGAAACUUGCCCCGAG
rnacentral:rRNA from 1 species